CUCAUGUCUUUGCAAUGAUUCUGGUGCAGAUUGUUCUGGACACAGGGGAAUGGUCUAGGUGACCUUCAAGGGGUCUCGUACCUAAUCUGUGAUUCUGUAAGUAAUGAGUUGACAGAAAAUCACAUUCUGUAUCUGGUCGACCAUCUGCUGUUUCUCUAAUGCUGAAUGAUAAAGGCAUGGUUAUGUGGGAAGAAGUUAGAUCCUGGAAACACUGUUGGUCUAUGUUGAUUCACAAGCCCCUGCAAGGACGAAGUUGGACUCAGCCUCUGCUAAUGAGCAGAGAAAUUGCUGCGUGAUGCUGCCGCCUUUACAGGUUUCCUCAAAACCCCUACACAAACAUUUCAUCUUUGCAUAAAAGUGGUUCUGGGAUGUUGUCCUUUGGAGACUUUAGGUGAAGAUCUCCUUCUGCCCUCAUCAGACUGUCAUCUAUUUUCUUCCAACGUUUCAGUCUCCAUGAGUUGAGUUUGAACUCUGGAUUAACUGCCUGGUUGAAAGGGGACUCAAGAACUUCACACAGAGUGCAAAGGAAGGUAGUGACCUGACCUGAAGUACUGCAGGGCGUCCCAAGUCCUGACACUGAACUGACUGCGGAGGGUGUGGAGACCACAGUCAGGCUGCAGAGGGCAGUAUAAGACUGUGGAGCAAAGUGCUGGGUUUCGCUGCCGCUUGCUGGGCCUGAUGCAGGCCACCUGUGAUGUUUCACGGUCCAUUAUGCUAGAUGCGGAAACUAGUGUAUUGGGAUUGUAGUAAAUGUGUGCUAGUUAGCUUCAUCCCAAAGAAAAAUUUUCAGAGAUUCCCUUUCUCCUCUCAUUUCAAGAAAUGAGUAGCAAACUUGUACCGGCUUCACUUUUUGGAGACUUGACUAUGUUGCAAUGAGAGUUGAGAUGGUACUUUAUGAUUCACUGAAGUUAAACUGUACUAGCACUAAUGUGGAUCUGGGUAUGGCCAGAAACUUCCUUAAUAAUAAUAAUAGAAGCAACAGCAAAAGUGGUAAUAAUAAUAGUAAUAAUAAUUAUAAUAAACAAGGCAAUGUUCUGCAUCACCUUUUUCAAAAUUUUGUUUAUUCAUUGACAGUGUCAUACAUGUAUAUAACAUGUUCUAAUUGCUCUCAUCCCCACGCCCUCUUAUCUUCCCACCCCUGUCAACUCCCCCUCCUCCCUGCAAGUGCCUUUCCCAUAUUUAUGGCUUUUUGUUUUGUUUUCUGACCCACUGAGCUUAACCAGGGCCACCUGUGUGACCAUGAUUUAUAACUAUCCAUUGGAGCCUAUUGGGCUCAUCAGUGGGUGCACAACUGAAGAUAGAGACUGUCUCCCUCAGAAUCCAUCAGCAGCCAAUAGCUUAGCAGGGAGGGGUAGGCCUAGUGAGAACCUUGUUGACCCAUGAUUGAUUGUUGACAGGCCUGGCUUUGUACAGUUCCGUGCAGACCCCUGUGCAGGCAACCACAGUUGUGUGAUGAUGGUAGCGACGGCUGUGUUGUGCCAGAAGCUUGCAUUUCCUAGUCCUUCUCCCUGUCUUCUGUCUCUUUCUUUCUGCUCCCUUUUCUGCCUGUUUCCUGAGCCUUGGAAGGGUGGUAUGAAUGACUACUUUAUGAGCACUCAACUGAACACCUUGACCAGCCAUGAGUCUCCACAUUCACCAUCAUUCAUUGCAAAGAGAGGCUUCUCUGAUUAAGGCUGAGAGCAGCAUUUGUCUCUAGGUAGAAACAUAAGAAGGCACUUUGGCACCUUGUCAAUUUAGUUAAAUGACUGUAGUAAGUUCCCUGCCCCCUAGGGCCCAAGACCUCCUUAGCGAUACGUUUUUGACUGGAUUUACAGUAUCAUACAUCUCUUUUUUGAAUAGAAGGAACUAGAGCAAGUGUAUUGCAGUGGAAGAACUGGUUCUCGUUACUCUGGACUGACUGAAUUUCAGAAAGGGAAAAGGUUGAUGGGAUUGAGAGACAGUGGUGGCUCUGGCAUAGAGGUUAAGGGCAUACAUUAGAAUCAGAGAGACCUGAGUUGAAACUGGACUCUUUAACUUGCUGCAGUUUCCCCUACCAUAAAGUUGGGAUCAUCUUAGAGUUGCUGGGUUAAAUAGGACGUGGUUUGAAUGGGAUGUGUCCCCCAUAGGCUCAUAUGUUUGAAGACUAGGUCUACAGCUGGUAGGACUAUAUGGGAAGGCUGUGGAACCUUGAGGAGGUAGAACCUUGCUGGAGGAAGUGGGUCACUAGGGUGGGUCUUGGGUUUUUAUAGCAUAGCCUCACUUCCUGUUCUCUCUGCUUCCUGACUACCAAUGAAAUGGGAGCAGCUAUCCAUCUGUACUUGCCACCAUGUCUUCUCUGCCAUGAUGGAAUAUACCACCUUGAACUGUAAGCCAGAAUAAACCCUUCCUUCCAUUGCUUCUUGUUGAGUAUUUUAUUGCAAUAUGAGGAAAGUAAUGAAUCACAAACUAUGUGUCACAAUGACCCACAGCAGGAAAUGUCCAGAACGUGGUAUCAUUACUGGCAUUCAAUUCACAAAUAGUUAUUGGGCAUCAACUAGGGGACUUGACCAUGUCAAUAUGAUUUCUACCUUCAAGUGAGAAAGCUAGAUAUUAAACACUUAUUAAUGAAUACAGCACUUAGAAAGCAUAGCAAAUCAAUAAAGAACUUGGAUGCUUGUAUUAUAGGAUCUAGGUUGAAUCCAGCUGUAUUAUCUCCAGCUGUGUGACUCUUAGAGCACUCCAUACCCUACUGGUACCUACUUCAUAGGGCACUGCAAGGUUUAUGUGAAUAUCACCUAUGAAGUAUUAGAAUGUAGUCUGACAUGUAUUAAAUAAGCAGAGUUAAUACAGCUGUUCGUUAUCAUAGAGUGUGGUGAGCAUUAGAAGGAAGAAGACCAGAGCUGGAGAAGUACAGAAUAGAGAGUGGGAGUGUAGAGCUCAUCCAAGUGAAGUUCUACAAAGGGGGAAUGAGUCAUAAAAUAAACUGGCCACUGGUUGGGAGUGGAGGUGAAUGGGAGUGAGACAGAGGUAGAUUUAUAAGUGUUCUUAGGAAACAAUGUGCAGGAUAUACAAUUAGGGAUAAAAAGAAGUGAGGCAUACCAACAUGCAUGAUUUAAGUAUCAAAAUAAAAUUUAUCACGUAUCUCUCUCUCACUAUAUAUAUGUAUGUAUAUAUAUAAAAUUACUUAAGCUCUAUUCAGAAUCCACUGAAAGACUACUAAUAUAAUUGCCUUGAGGUGAUAUCUGAUGAAUAGAUAGUUUCUUGUGGGACAGAAGUGACCCAGAGGCAGAAUCAAGAGCCCAGGGAGUGGGGUCAAGGAAAAGUCAGCCAUCAGGAGAUGCCCCUGGCCCUAAUCAAGAAGCUGGUAACAUCACCGCUGGAACUUCUGAGGAUCUGGGAUUGGUGUGUGCUUUGUACCUCUGUGCUUUCUAGUCACUUGUUUUAGUCAUGUUUCACUAUUGUAUGUUGGAUGUUAUGCCAAUUUAUUUUUAUCAACUCAACACAACUUAAAGUCACCUGGGAAGAUGGAACAUUAAUGAGGAAUUUCCCAGAUCAGUUUCUCUUGUGCCAUGUCUGUAGGUGAUUGUCGUAUGGAGUGGGAGCACAUGGGAGGAGC